rnacentral:rRNA from 1 species
CCUACGGGUGGCUGCAGUGGGGAAUAUUGCACAAUGGGGGGAACCUUGAUGCAGCAACGCCGCGUGGGUGAAGAAGUACUCCGGUAUGUAAAGCCCUGUCAGCAGGGAAGAAAAUGACGGUACCUGACCCAGAAGCCCCGGCUAACGACGUGCCAGCAGCCGCGGUAAUACGUAGGGGGCAAGCGUUAUCCGGAUGUACGGGGUGUAAAGGGGGCGUAAAGGGGAAGUCAAGUGUGGAGUGAAAGCCCGUGGCCCAACCACGGGACUGCUUUUGAAACUGGGUUGCUGGAGUGCAGGAGGGGUAAGCGGAAUUCCUAGUGUAGCGGUGAAAUGCGUAGAUAUUAGGAGGAACACCGGUGGCGAAGGCGGCUUACUGGACUGUAACUGACGUUGAGGCUCGAAGGCGUGGGGAGCAAACAGGAUUAGAUACCCUGGUAGUC